rnacentral:lncRNA from 1 species
AUGAAAUGCCAGUUCUUGGGUGUCAGCCCUGAGCUUCCAGGUGUGCAGCUCUCACAUACCCCAAAUACAGUUCCUGUCUUGGGACUGUUAGCAGACCUUUUCUUGCACAGGCUUUGCUGGAGAGCCAGGAUCACUGCUGGCUGCGGAAGCGAAUCAGCAAGUAUGGCUGCGAGUGACGUGCCCCAUGCUGCAGCAAGAUUUUGGAUGGAGGAGUUGUGUUGCAGCCAGAGGAUUCAAAUUUUAGUGGAAUAUCUGUAAAAAAAGAUGUCAGGGUAACUUUCAUUCAAGAACUGGCACAAAACUGUUACAGCAUACCUUUUGGGGAGAAGCUGUGAGAAAAGCAAGAAAACAAAUCCACCAAAACAUUACUAGGAGCUAUCACUCAUGAAAGGCGAUGCAAGCCCUUCUUUGAAUUCUUCUUGGGCUAUGGAUCAGAAUGUCUAUUGUUUUUUCACUAUCUAGCAGUAAUUUUACCCCAGAAAGCUAGAUAUACCUUUUGUUAAUCACAGAAGUCAUUAGGAAUAUAGCUUCCUUUACAUUGUGGUAGUUUGACAUCUGAGCAAAUUCAAAUGAGUUUAGUUACUGUUCAUGGGAAAGUCAUCACAAGAUUUGAGCCAUAAAACAAUGCACAUAAAACUAUGUUCAGUUAGUUCAGAUCUAAAUAUAAAAGGAGUAAGAUCAUUUUGUGUUCUCGCUGAGGGCAGGCACAAAGAUAAACUGAACUGAUUUAAAAAUAUAUGAAAAUUCGAACUGCAAUAGAAAUCUCUGAAAAUUAUCUUUAAAGAGAAAGGGGAACCUAGCAACAGCUUCUGCAGAUUUUAAAAAUGAAAUGCCUUCUCACUACCUAAAUUAAAAUAAAACUGGCCCAAGAUGGAUCUUUUUUUUUCUAGUUGAAGAUAAACCUGCUGGUUUCAGUGGAGCUAUUCAUGUGGAGAAAUGUGAUUUUUUACAAUAACACGUUUUCUCCAGUCUCUUUAUUCACUUUACACUAUGCACUUAUAAAGAUCCUGCAGACCUGUCCACAUUUCAUUUAAUAUUUUAUAUAGAUAAUUAGCGGAGAAGAUGUGAAAUCUGGGUAUAGGCCAGAUUCACUGGGUUUUCUGUAAUGUCUUGAAUGAUAGUAGUUAGGAAAAACACCUUUUAAUGUCUUUUAAUGUCUUUGUAACCUGCUAUUUCUUUGGUGUAAAUUUAAAAGAAAUACAAUCUUGAGGGGUAGCCACUACCCAGGGGGUAUGUCCUGCUGCAUGUCUGUUAGCAAAACGAAAAGUGAGAGGAUUCAGAAAAUUGAGUCAAAUUAUAACAGUGGGGUUGAUGGAGUUGGGGGCUUUGUGGAGGGACUCAUGUAACUGUGGCGAUGAAACCGGAGUCAUUCAGUACACAUCAGAGUCCGGGCAGAUGGUGCUUAAGACCUGAAAAGCUACUUCAGAAUGCCCCCCCCCCAAUUGAGGAAACAGCAGUUUAUGAAAAAUACAGAAUUUUUUUUUCACUUUUCUUUUAACUGAGAAAUACUCAACUGAUUGAAUUGUACUUAAUAUGGUGUGUGUAGGUGCAGCAUCUGAAAUCCAACACAGGAGGCAUGAUUUUGGCAAAAGCAAAACAACAGAUGCUUGUGACAAGCAGGUUGUAUAACAGAUUUCUCUUGCAACCUAGGUCAGCUGUUUUUCACCAAGAUUGAGUUUAACUGAAAUGGUUAGUAUUAGAUAAAAUAUAUAUUCAUAUGCAGUUGAGGUAUGAUCUUGGCUUCCUUUACAUUGAUAUUUUCACUGAAUUCAGCAUUUGUUAAAGUUACAGCUAAUUAUAACCUUGUGGACAAUAAUUGUUUUACUUACACCAACUGUAUAUAAUAGCUACUAAAUCAGAGCUAUUUCAUUUUUUUUAAUUGUACAUAUAUUUAGGGGAACAUUCUAAAGACACGUGCAAUAUUUAUUCUGUAUUCAACUCAGCAAAACAACUGCAAUUAAGGAAGAAAUAAAAGGAGGAGGGGGAGGGAAGACUAAUUUUGGAAAAACAGCUCCUCCAAUAGCUUGGAAAUACUUCUUGCAAUAUGUUAAGGCUAAUAUAACUGUCACAGCCUUCUGUGGAGCACCCUUCAUGAAAACAUUCAAGUGGAAAAAUUGAAAAGCUCAUGUAAAUGUCAAUCUGAAUAUGUGACUCUACAGUUUUUUGCUGUAUGAAGUAGCUGCUUAGACUUUAGAUGGUGAAAUCAUGUCUUAUUUUGGUGGUGGUUUCCUUUUGAUUUUCUGUUGUCCUGCUUUGCUUGUUAUACAACAAUGUAGCAAUGUGCUGUGGGAAGAGUUAGAGCUGGACACCUGCAAUAUCUGUGCUUCUGUGUGUAUUUGGGAAGGAGAAAGGUGAUGGGCGUGGGUUUUAGUCCCUUCUAGCUCCUGGAGCUGGUGUGCAUAGAGGCAGUGCUGCAGCUGGAAUGUGCUUCUUAGUCAAUGAUAAUCUCAAAGUUCAUGCAUAAAGCAAAAUAGUGCUACAAAAAUGAGAUGACAGACAAAAGAUAAGCUAUAAAAACAACACAAAUGUAAGCAUAAUGUCAAGUGUGUGCAUGUGUUGUAGUUAAUCGUUUAAAAGCAUUGCUUUGAAAACAGGAAUAAACUUUGUCUCAACAUGGUGUUCAAGUGUAUCUUUCCUGUGACCUCCUGGUACCACUGCAGAGGUGCUGGGUGUAACUGUGGAGGCACUGGCUUGGUUUUAGAAGCAGCAACCUGAUGGCUGCUUACUGAAGCCCAUCACCUGGAGCCUCUGCCAUGCUGGUUCCCAUGGUGUGGGAACCAGCCUUGGUCUUCCCUCAGAAGAGUCCUCUUCAUCUCUCUGCGUUUAUCUCCUUGCUCUUAUCUUAAGCCUUGGGGCUUAAGUUUCCUGUUCUUUGAAGAACAUGGUUUCCUUUUUAGCCUGGUUUCAAAGACUCUGCCUCUGUUUACCCCUGUCUUUACCUCUUAAACUCAAUAAGCAGUUCAGAGAAAUUUGACGGCAGAGAGAUCUCAGCUGAAUACACAUAUCUACAGCCACCGAAGUGGGGUACACAGAUAUUAUCUCAUAUGUGCAAUGUGGCAGUGAUGGAGGGCUGCAGGGUAGGUGUUUAAUUGACCCUAAGGAGUUAGUAUUCAUCUCAGCUGGGUGACAAAGAAGUAGGAGCUCCCAGGAGGUGGUGUGGGUUAAAGCCCCGCAAUGUAUACUUUGCUGAACUGGAACACGUUUUGAUAACUAUGUUUAGACAUUGGCUAAUAAGAGUGUUCAGAUAGGGUAUUUGUCAGGUUGGACUGUUUUAACACCAAGGAUAUUUAAAAGCUAUUUUUUAGGUCAUUGAGAUAUUAAUGGUAUUGUAAAUGUGGAACUGCAAGGCAGGGAACUGAACUGCUUUCAGUCAGGAAAAUCACUUGUAUUACAGUAAGCACAUAAAGGAGGAUGUAUCGAUCUGAGUUACAAAAAGAUAUGCUUGAGGAAUAGCUCUGUGCAGAUGCCCCUAAAAUAUCACUUUUGCUAUUUGUGAUUCACUUUGUCCUGCUAAACCAAGGAAGUUGUGGCCUGGCAAUAGACGGCAAAGUCCUGCCGAAGUUUUGCUUCAGAAAGUGUUUCUUUGGAGGGACUGCAGUGAUGUAAGUAGGAAGUAAUUCUGUUUCUUUAUUUCUGCUGAAGUAAACCUUUGGCAUUUUAUAAUAAUUUUAAUACACUUCAUCAGACUUGAGCCUAACAAUAUUAAUUGAAUCUUGCCCAACCUAACUUAGCAGCUUGUUUUGUCAUGAGAAAAACC